UGAUCAUAAAGCAGCCCUGGCCUGGUCCAGUCAGUUGUGGCUAGUCAUAUGUGCUGGCGUCGAAGGUGAGUCUAAUGCAUUCAGACAUCUGGACCCUCUCCAGUGACCAAUUGGGUAGUGAGGUGAGGUUGGGAGCAAGUGUUCUGCUAUUAUAAGUAAUUUAGUAGGGAGUUUGACAAUUAGGGAGGCAUUUUAAGUUGUUU
rnacentral:lncRNA from 1 species